GACGAACGCUGGCGGCGUGCUUAACACAUGCAAGUCGAACGGUAAGGCCCCUUCGGGGGUACACGAGUGGCGAACGGGUGAGUAACACGUGAGCAACCUGCCCUUGACUCUGGAAUAACAGUUGGAAACAGCUGCUAAUACUGGAUAUUCAUCGUCUCCUUCCUGGGGGGUGGUGGAAAGCUCCGGCGGUCAGGGAUGGGCUCGCGGCCUAUCAGCUUGUUGGUGAGGUAAUGGCUCACCAAGGCUUCGACGGGUAGCCGGCCUGAGAGGGCGACCGGCCACACUGGGACUGAGAUACGGCCCAGACUCCUACGGGAGGCAGCAGUGGGGAAUAUUGCACAAUGGGCGCAAGCCUGAUGCAGCAACGCCGCGUGCGGGAUGACGGCCUUCGGGUUGUAAACCGCUUUCAGUAGGGACGAAGGGUGACUGACGGUACCUACAGAAGAAGGACCGGCUAACUACGG
rnacentral:rRNA from 1 species